rnacentral:misc_RNA from 1 species
ACUGUAUCAUACUUAAACAUAUAUGUCAUGUAAUCAGUAGAAAUGAAAGGAUCAUUAACAGCUACAAGUUCAAUAUCAUUCCUCUGAAGUGCGACUCUAGCAACCAAACGGCCAAUUCUUCCAAACCCAUUGAUACCGAUCUUAAUCUUCUUAUCACCAGCCAUCGUUAAUAAUUAAGAAAAUGAAAUUUGAAGCCGAGAUUUUAGUGCACAGAGAGCUUAUACAAAAAAGAU